rnacentral:rRNA from 1 species
GACAGAGGAUGCAAGCGUUAUCCGGAAUGAUUGGGCGUAAAGCGUCUGUAGGUGGCUUUUAAGUCCGCCGUCAAAUCCCAGGGCUCAACCCUGGACAGGCGGUGGAAACUACCAAGCUGGAUACGGUAGGGGCAGAGGGAAUUUCCGGGUGGAGCGGUGAAAUGCGUAGAGAGUCGGAAAGAACACCAACGGCGAAAGCACUCUGCUGG